GGGAAACUCACCAGGUCCAGACACAAUAAGGAUUGACAGAUUGAGAGCUCUUUCUUGAUUUUGUGGGUGGUGGUGCAUGGCCGUUCUUAGUUGGUGGAGUGAUUUGUCUGCUUAAUUGCGAUAACGAACGAGACCUUGGCCUCUAACUAGGGUGCGCAGCGGUAGCUACGCGACCUUCUUAGGGGGACUAUUGAUGUAAGUCGAUGGAAGUUCGAGGCAAUAA
rnacentral:rRNA from 1 species